AGGCAUAACAUUGCUGUGAGUUUUCAUCAUGCGGAUUAUUCAUAGCUUUGCAGCAGACUUCUUCAACUCGCCAUGACAAACGAAGCUGCAUUUAACACAGCUGCAAGUGAACGCCUCAUGAGACUCUGAAAGAAGUUACGUCGUCACAAGCUGCGGAGCUGUGUAUCACGAAGAACCGGAGAACGGUUGGCGAGUCUGGAUGAGAGGACGGCGGCGGAGUCACUGUGGACGUUGUUCGCUCAGCAGGUUAGAGUGUGGGACUCAAUGGUUUUUGUCCCCUCUCCCGUUGUGUCUUUUCCUGUGUGAACUCUGCCGCUCUCAACAGCAGCACUGGCUAUGAGCUAGCUCCCUCUAGCUCCAACGAAGCAUCUCUCAACUGCUACAAGGUCCAACUUGACACACAACUUGAAUCCAACCAGACUGAACACUGACUCCAGGGACAGACGAGCCUGAAGGACACAGCUGUGAUGACCAUGUUCUGUCUCUUAUGGCAAAGCAGAAAUAUAAAACACUGGGUUCUUAUCUAAAGUGUAUCAAAUCAGAUCUCCACCAUGUUGCUGCUGAGGACAUCAGGUGCUGCAGUUCUUCAUCUAUGAAGAGAAAAAACGCACUGUUAAAGAAUGUUUUGUGUUGUGUAUAAAGCACAACAGAUUUCAGAUAGAACUGUUGUACUGUGGUCUUGGUUUAUAUCCUCAUGGUGAAAUGUACAUAUUUUAAGUCCCUUCUGAUAAAAGUGCUGAAAGAAAUACAACAUUGUACAAAUACAUAAAAUGUCUUUCUACCUCAUCAGUACUAUUCAAGGUGAUAAUCUCCCACAGACCUAUUGAUAACAGUCCAAAUCAAGUUUUUCCACUUCUCUCAGUGUGAAAACAUAAUUCUAUAAUUAAUUUGAGAACUGUUUACAACACUGAUGUGUGGAGAUUAAAAUCAUACCUAAACUGUCUAAUUCACUGUAAAACUCCAUGACAUUCGCAGGCCAUCUGUAGUUAAGGGAGCAACGCAUGGAGUGAUGUGUAGAUUACUAGUUUGAUGAUGCAUGAGGAGAGGCGGUGGUCGAGUGGCAGAAACUUGGACUAUGGGCAGAGAAGGUCUCUGGUUCGUCUUUGGUUCGACUCCAUGGAGAGACAACAAAAGUCGAACCUGGAUUGAUCUGUCCAAAAAUCCAAGAGUCUCCCUACCCUCUCUAGUGCCCAUGAGCAAGGCACCUCACUCCCCCAACAUCUGCUCCCCCGAGCGCCGUACAUGGUCGCUCACUGCUCUGUGUGUCCUGCACCAGAUGGGUAAAAAGCAGCGAUUAAAUUUCCCUACCUGCAUGAGUGUGCCUUUGCAUGUCUGUGCAUGUGUUUGGGAUGAAUAAAUGGAUUUUAAUCUUAA